AUUGAACGCUGGCGGCAGGCUUAACACAUGCAAGUCGAGCGGAGUGAUGGUGCUUGCACUAUCACUUAGCGGCGGACGGGUGAGUAAUGCUUAGGAAUCUGCCUAUUAGUGGGGGACAACAUCUCGAAAGGGAUGCUAAUACCGCAUACGUCCUACGGGAGAAAGCAGGGGAUCACUUGUGACCUUGCGCUAAUAGAUGAGCCUAAGUCGGAUUAGCUAGUUGGUGGGGUAAAGGCCUACCAAGGCGACGAUCUGUAGCGGGUCUGAGAGGAGGAUCCGCCACACUGGGACUGAGACACGGCCCAGACUCCUACGGGAGGCAGCAGUGGGGAAUAUUGGACAAUGGGGGGAACCCUGAUCCAGCCAUGCCGCGUGUGUGAAGAAGGCCUUAUGGUCGUAAAGCACUUUAAGCGAGGAGGAGGCUCUUUUGGUUAAUACCCAAGAUGAGUGGACGUUACUCGCAGAAUAAGCACCGGCUAACUCUGUGCCAGCCGCCGCGGUAAGAC
rnacentral:rRNA from 1 species